UACGUUUACUAACCUAAUCCUAAUUCUAACUCUUCCUCUUCGUCUUCAGAUUUUUCCUUCUCAUUUCAUCAGAAAACUAAACCCUAGCAGAAUCUCUUCUCCAUGAAAACUAAACUCUAGCAGUGUUUUUUUCCAAAUUCAUGGAAGCUCCACCAGCAUCCACUCAACGCCGAUUUGGAUUUGCACGACCACCGCGCACCGCAUUCUAAAAGGAAGAUUCACUGCUUCUGCACUAGUUUUGUUUGCGUUCGUCUUUCUUCUUCUGCCACUGCGAAGUUGUGCGUAACGGUGACGAGUUCAAUUUCUCUGUUGGAUUCGCUUCAACUUCGUUCUCGCUCGAUAACUUCUUCGUGUCGCCAAGGUGCGGUUGCAGAUUGAACUGCAACGAUGAAGACAACAACGAAUUCAGAAAAUACUACUUUGCUACUUCAAAAACAAUGAUGAGGUUGAAUGGCAUAACAAAAUCAUUUGUAGCUAAUCAUGUAGCAGAAACUAAUGCUAGAGCUGUGACAAUAAGGGCCUUUCAGGAGGAAGAUCGCUUUUUCAAGAAGAAUUUAAUGCUGGAGCUCUUAUGGCAUUUCACAGAACAAUUCCCUAGUAUUUUCAAUUCAAUUUCAAUGCGCUCUAGCAAAUUA